rnacentral:rRNA from 1 species
GACGAACGCUGGCGGCGUGCCUAAUACAUGCAAGUCGAGCGGAACUGGGGGAGCUUGCUCCUUCCAGUUUAGCGGCGGACGGGUGAGUAACACGUGGGCAACCUGCCCUGCAGAUCGGGAUAACUCCGGGAAACCGGUGCUAAUACCGAAUAGUUUGGCGCCUCUCCUGAGGCGCUACGGAAAGACGGUUUCGGCUGUCACUGCAGGAUGGGCCCGCGGCGCAUUAGCUAGUUGGUGGGGUAACGGCCCACCAAGGCGACGAGGCGUAGCCGACCUGAGAGGGUGACCGGCCACACUGGGACUGAGACACGGCCCAGACUCCUACGGGGGGCAGCAGUAGGGAAUCUUCCGCAAUGGACGCAAGUCUGACGGAGCAACGCCGCGUGAGUGACGAAGGUUUUCGGAUCGUAAAACUCUGUUGUGAGGGAAGAACACGUACCAACUAACUAUUGGUACCUUGACGGUACCUCGCCAGAAAGCCACGGCUAACUACGUGCCAGCCGCCGCCGUAA